UACGGAGGGAGCUAGCGUUAUUCGGAAUUACUGGGCGUAAAGCGCACGUAGGCGGCUUUGUAAGUAAGAGGUGAAAGCCCAGAGCUCAACUCUGGAAUUGCCUUUUAGACUGCAUCGCUUGAAUCAUGGAGAGGUCAGUGGAAUUCCGAGUGUAGAGGUGAAAUUCGUAGAUAUUCGGAAGAACACCAGUGGCGAAGGCGGCUGACUGGACAUGUAUUGACGCUGAGGUGCGAAAGCGUUGGGGAGCAAACAGG
rnacentral:rRNA from 1 species